rnacentral:rRNA from 1 species
GUGGGGAAUUUUGGACAAUGGGCGCAAGCCUGAUCCAGCCAUGCCGCGUGCAGGAUGAAGGCCUUCGGGUUGUAAACUGCUUUUGUACGGAACGAAAAGACUCUGGUUAAUACCUGGGGUCCAUGACGGUACCGUAAGAAUAAGCACCGGCUAACUACGUGCCAGCAGCCGCGGUAAUACGUAGGGUGCGAGUGUUAAUCGGAAUUACUGGGCGUAAAGCGUGCGCAGGCGGUUAUAUAAGACAGAAGUGAAAUCCCCGAGCUGAACCUGGGAACUGCAUUUGUGACUGUAUAGCUAGAGUACGGCAGAGGGGGAUGGAAUUCCGCGUGUAGCAGUGAAAUGCGUAGAUAUGCGGAGGAACACCGAUGGCGAAGGCAAUCCCCUGGGCCUGUACUGACGCUCAUGCACGAAAGCGUGGGGAGCAAACAGGAUUAGAAACCCCGGUAGUCC